rnacentral:rRNA from 1 species
AGGACGAACGCUGGCGGCGUGCUUAACACAUGCAAGUCGAGCGGUGAUCCUCCUUCGGGAGGUGAUCAGCGGCGAACGGGUGAGUAACACGUGGGCAACCUGCCCCUCACACUGGGAUAACCUCGGGAAACCGGGGCUAAUACCGGAUACGACCUUGAGCGGCAUCUCUUGAGGUGGAAAGCUCCGACGGUGAGGGAUGGGCCCGCGGCCUAUCAGCUUGUUGGUGGGGUAAUGGCCUACCAAGGCGACGACGGGUA